rnacentral:rRNA from 1 species
CAGCCGCCACGGGAAUACGAAGGGGGCUAGCGUUGCUCGGAAUGACUGGGCGUAAAGGGCGCGUAGGCGGUCACGAUAGUCAGAUGUGAAAUUCCUGGGCUUAACCUGGGGACUGCAUUUGAUACUGUGUGGCUUGAGUGUGGAAGAGGGUCGUGGAAUUCCCAGUGUAGAGGUGAAAUUCGUAGAUAUUGGGAAGAACACCGGUGGCGAAGGCGGCGACCUGGUCCAUAACUGACGCUGAGGCGCGAAAGCGUGGGGAGCAAACAGGAUUAGAUACCCCCGUAGUCCCUGUCUCUUAUAC